UUAGGUAAUUCCCUCUUUUGUCUGAGAGAAAAGUAAAAGCCUCUUUUAAGAUGAGACUUGCCAAGAGAGAAGUUAAAACAUCUGCUGCCUAAUUAAACAGGUCAACUUUUUGAUUGGUCAAAAUACUUAUGGUAAAUUAAAUGUUCCCAUCUAAAUUCAAAGGCUUUUUCCUGAAAGUUAAUGCCACAUAUAAUAUGCAUCAGUGGUUUGGAGGAGGUGGGUUGCACUAGGUUGUGCCUCCAUCAUAGUUAGUUAACAGCAUCACCACCACCAAUUCUUUGUUUCAUCUACUUUGUUGAGCUUUUCUCAUUUCCUUGCUCUCUUUAAACAUCUAUGGAAAGAACUAAAAGUAGCCCUGUUUGGAAAGAUGAGGAUAAAAACGUCCCCAGGUCUGACUGCUAAGAUGCACAGUGAUAUACUCACCACUCGUAUUCUAUUGCUGUUGAUAAUAUGCUGGUCUAUUAUGGUGUACAGACUCCUAGUAAGAUUUAACAACUUCUUUGUUUCUACCACCAGUCUGCUGUCAAAAACUGGUUGCUUGUAUGAAUAGUAUUUUUACUUAGAAGCAGAUACUCUCUUCCUCAUUAGCAGAGAAUAGUACCACACAAUACUACCAUAUACAUAAAAGACGGGGUUGUUGCAGAAGAUGCUAUCCCAUAUCCAGUUGAUCUCCCUUGUUCCCAUAGCUGGUAGGAUUCCUUUUUCUGUGUCAUUGUCAUAUUGUGUCUUCCACUGACAUCUUCAGCUUGAAGUGGGGAAAGAGAGCCAAACACAAAUCCUUAAUUUUACAGUUGCUCCCUUGUCUUUAAGCAAAUUGGAGUGCAAAAGGCAGGUGGUCUUCAUUAUGAGAAUUCUUGGAUUGUGGUGCUAGGUAGUAUAUAGGCUGUAUGUCGUUGGAUGUGAAUGUUCUAUUAUAACAAAUUUAGUAUGCAGGAUUGUUCAAGAGAUCUAUGAAUUGA